rnacentral:rRNA from 1 species
AUGUUAUUUGGUGCAAAUUGCAAACAGGGGGAGAAUCCAAGGUUUGGAAUGAACUUAAGAAAUAAGAGUUGCUUUGGAUACAAUCAACCUGGGCAAUGGCCGAAUUGGUAUAGCAGAAGACGUGUUGUUGGUACUAAGAAGUCUUGGCGACGAGAUGGGGAUUGCCUUUGUCCAAAUGCAAACUGUAGAAAUGUAAAUUUUGCUUUUCGCAGAAUCUGUAAUCUUUGUGGAGUUACACGACCAGCUGGUGAUAGUGGAACCACACAGCUUGUGAGUGUGAGGAUGACUGCAGAAGAUAUGGUGAAGUGGCAGUGGUUUAAGAAGAUGAGUUCGAGUGAAAACUCUUCAAAGGAGGCAUCUAUUUCUGCUGUUCCUGCUGGUCCUUGGACUAAUGCUUCUAAAGCUGUAAGUUGUGAUCGACCAUGGUUAAUUGAUUCUGGUGCAUCAAGACAUAUGGUGGGAUCCUAUGAGGACUUCUUAAAAUAUGCACCUAAUGUGAUGGGGCAGGAUGUGAAGUUGGCAGAUGGCUCUACCCAAGCUAUUAUGGGAUCAGGGACUGUCAUAUGUGGACCUAAUAUGUCUCUGUCAUCUGUUUUACAUGUUCCCUCAUUCCCAAUUAAUCUAUUAUCUAUCAGCUGUAUUACAAAGGAACUUAAUUGUGCUGCAGUUUUCUUUCCAACUUGGUGUUUGUUUCUGCAACUUGGGACUUGGAAAGUCCUUGGGACAGGAAUUAUGCGAGAUGGUCUAUACUACUUGGAUGAUGAUAUGGAACCUAUGGCUGCUGCCGUGCUGUCUCGAUCACCAUUGGAAGAAUUUCUUCUUCAUCAUCGCAGGCUGGGACACAUGUCCUUUAACAGCCUGGGUCAGUUGUAUCCUAACCUCUAUAAUAAAAUUUGUAAAGAAAGCCUAGUAUGUGAUGCCUGUUAG